UCCUACCUACGGGGGGCAGCAGUAGGGAAUCUUCCACAAUGGACGAAAGUCUGAUGGAGCAACGCCGCGUGAGUGAAGAAGGGUUUCGGCUCGUAAAGCUCUGUUGGUAGUGAAGAAAGAUAGAGGGAGUAACUGGCCUUUAUUUGACGGUAAUUACUUAGAAAGUCACGGCUAACUACGUGCCAGCAGCCGCGGUAAUACGUAGGUGGCAAACGUUGUCCGGGUUUAUUGGGCGUAAAG
rnacentral:rRNA from 1 species